AUCUCUAUCCCAUCACUUUCCUACUUGUGUUAUAUUGAACAAGAUGCUUAACUGCUGAUGCUAUAAUUUCUUCAUUUAUAAAGUGAUAGUACUGCAGCAGAAUAAAGAUUGCUGUAAAUUCUUUGACACCCCUCUCACGAAGAGAUAGAAUCCAUAUCCUUUCUCCUUGAAUCUGGGCAGACUGUGACUGCUUUGAUCAUAGAGUAGCAGAAGUACUGACAUACUAGUUUUUGGACCCAGAAUUUAGUGAUAGAUUUUAUCUCAUCUCUUGGAAUACUCUCAAGUUCAGACUCUGAUGUUAAAAAGUCAGGCUACUCUGCUGAAGAGACCACACGGAAAGGCCCUGAGACUAUAUAAAGAAGGAGAGGCUCUCGGCUAUGCCCAGUCAUCCAGAUACACCCACCAAGACAUUUGAGUGAAAUAGUUUUGGUUCCUCUAGACCAGCCAUCAGCUGAAUGCCAUCAGGUAACCUCAGUUGAUGCCAUGUAGAAGAGAAAAAUCAACCAAGUGAGCCCCUGCCCAAUCCUGGCCCACAUAAUCAUGAGAUAUAGUAAAAUGGUUGUUGUUUUAAGCUACUAAAUUUUAUUUUAUUAGUAUCAUAUUACUUUUGAAAAUACGUAUGAAAGACUAUGGGCACAAUGAAUAUAGAAAUGCCUUCCACCAACACUCAUCCAUUAUUUGACAUCAGAUAACUUAUUCUUGUUAAAAUUGUGAAAGUGAGAAGUUCUUUUUCAAUUUGUUCAUAAAAAAUAAGGUAUUCUACAAUCUAUACUCUCUAGCCUCAGCAUAAAUUUAACUUAACAAAGGUAGGAUGGGCCUAGAGAUUAUCAUACCAAGUGAAGUAAAUGAGAUAAAGACAAAUACUACAUCAUCUUAUUUAUGUGUGGAAUAAAAACAGUACAAAUAAAUUUAUUUACAAAAUAGAAAUAGACUAAGACAUAGAAAGCAAACUUACGGUUGCCAAAGGAGAAGUGGGGGGAAGGAUAAAUUAGGAGUAUAGGAUUAACAGAUGUACACCACCAUAUACAAAAUAGGUAAACAACAAGGACUUACUGUAUAGUAAGGGAACUAUAUUCAAUGUAUUGUAAUAACCUAUAAUGGAAAAGAAUUUUUUGAAAAGUAUAUAUAUGAAACCAGAUCACCUUUUGGUAUAUCUGAAACUAACACAAUAUUGUAAAGCAACUAUAAUAAGUAAAAUUUUAAAAAGAAACUAUUUUGAAGUUAAAAAUCACCUAUCUUAUAGGUCCUCCUACAGCUCCGAUUAGACCCCUAGCCUGGGAACCUCCAUAUGCUGCGGGUGUGGCCCUAGAAGAGACAAAAAAAAAAAAAAAAAGCCCACCUUUACUGGAGUCUUCCCAGGAAGGAAUGGGUGGCAUGAUGUCAGGUAGGUACACUAAGCAAGUCUAGGACUGGAUAGAUUGAACCGUUUUAUUGGGCCUGGAAUGAUUUGAGGCAGGAGGAAUAUUGGCUUGGUGUAUGAGAGUUUGAUAGAGGAGAUGUUUCAGAGCGUGGGCUUUGCAUUAGUUGGUUUGUAUAUCAAAGGCAUGCUCAAAGGGGAAUUUGUUGAGGCGUUUGCUAGUCCUAGGAGGAGGAGUCUCUCCAAGAUCAAGUCACCAAAUGCCAGAGCACCAAGAACACAGAAAAUAAGAAAAUACUGGAGUUCCCUAGUGGCUCAGUAGGUUAAGGAUCCAGCAUUGUCACUGCUCUGGCUCUGGUUACAGCUAUGGUAUGGAUUCCAUCUUUGGCCCAGGAACUUCCACAUUUUGCGGGUGCAGCGGAAAAAAAAAAA
rnacentral:lncRNA from 1 species